UCCCUCGUGGCGCAACUGGACAGCGCGUUGGACUGUUACGUUCUCUCAUGAUCUUGUGGGAGUAGCAGGUAUCCGGGGGUUGUAAGUUCCAGCCUUACCGAGGGAU